UACGAAGGGGGCUAGCGUUGCUCGGAAUCACUGGGCGUAAAGCGCACGUAGGCGGACUCUUAAGUCGGUGGUGAAAUCCUGGAGCUCAACUCCAGAACUGCCUUCGAUACUGGGAGUCUCGAGUUCGGGAGAGGUGAGUGGAACUGCGAGUGUAGAGGUGAAAUUCGUAGAUAUUCGCAAGAACACCAGUGGCGAAGGCGGCUCACUGGCCCGAUACUGACGCUGAGGCGCGAAGGCGUGGGGAGCGAACGGG
rnacentral:rRNA from 1 species